ACUGCCUCUAGAUGAAUUGCAGGUAUGGCUCCUGUGUUAUAUGUGCCUCAAUAAGUACCAGAGAGGAGACAGGCUGUGUCUGUACACUCAAUAUUUUGACGUGUGAACAGCUGAAUGAUUAGUAGCCCAACAUU